AUAUAUAUAUAUAUAUAUAUUUCACAGGGAUACGUGUUUUUUUAAAAGGCUGAAUGUGUUCACCACUUUAGCCUGUAGAUUUAUUUCCAUUUUCCAAAUUUAGCUCUAGCACGCACAGAUCCCAGCCCCUAUGUGUAGGGUGUUUGUGGACUUCCUAACAAUAUUUUGAGGCCUGAAUGAACUUUGGCUUAGGGGUAGAGGUUACAGAGGGAGGCAAGAUUUUCAACUGGAAAACGGGUGGAAUUUGGACUGAUCGACUUGAGACUAAAAAAACCGCUAUUCCUUUUGUUCUUUCUAGCAUCUCCCCCACCCACCGAGCGCUCCUCAGGCUAGAUAGUGAAACGAUCCAAUGCCGGUGUCAUUUUGUACUUCAGUUCCAAAAUAGGAACGUUUUAUACUUUUUUCUGUAUUGUAAUAGGUAGUUUUGUAUGAAAUAUUUUCUCUUCUUCCCUUGUACCCCAUCCUUUCCAACAUUGUGCUUUCUCUCUGGGCUUAUUUGAAAAUUUUACUCUGUUUUAUACCAAGCUUGUUUAGUACAUUUUUCUAUGUUUUACCACAGGUUACAAUUUGAAAAGAAAACUAUUUUUUUUAAAUAUUCCAUUGUUAACUGAAUGUUACUGUUUCCACUCCAGCAACUAGAUGUCCUACCUUUUUCAUAACUGCCUGCCUUUUUGGGGAAGACCACCUUUUCUUUCUUUCUUUCUUUCUUUCUUUCUUUCUUUCUUUCUUUUCUUUUCUUUUCUUUCUUUCUUUCCUUCCUUCUUGUGUUUUUCUAUAGGAAAUAAAUAGCUUUCUAUUUAUGAGUUGCUGAGACCUUUCACAUUCUCUGUUAGAAAGCUGUGGCAUGCAGGCUCAUUGUAGGACUCCUGUACAUGGAUUCUUGGUACUUAAUGUAUUUCAGUGGCAACUUGAAAGGUGGCAAUAUGGUAUAGAUUCUGAUUAUGAAUCAGAAGACCUGAGUUUUUUCAGGUGCUCUUGCUACUGUCUGGGGGACUCAGAACAAGAUAGUUCUCUGUAUUUAUUGUUUGUCCAUUUAGAUAACAUCUGUCUUACCUUCCUCACAGACUUUUUGUACAGACCAAAGCAACAAAUAUUUAUUGCCAUGUAUAACAGAAAAUGAAACAUGCAACAAAAGCACUUUGAAAAAUAUAUAAGGAAUUGUUGAGCCUGUGUGAACGUGGACCCCCUUUCUGGUCAAUACAUUUUUGUACAAGGGGAAGUUAGUGAUCCUGAGACCACCCUACAUGGGUGGACCAAGCUGAGACAUAGGUUGUGGCCCAGGGUGGCUCAAUGGGAACCACCCAUUUGACUAUAUUUGGGUCUAUAUUUGACUUCUGUAGUGGGCUAUUUUUCCAGAGAGCUAGCCACAAGAUCAGGACUAGCAUCUGGAAACUUAAUUUCUCCUUUAUUUAAGGGUGGGCUUUGAUGACCAGGGAGGGGAAAAAAAGAGGUUCUUGCAUUACAUGGCUAAGGGCAUGCUACCAAUAUCUUAUCUAAAUUGCUUUAAACUGAAGCCUAUUGCUUUCCUUUUCUCCUAUCUUCCAUUCUUCUCUGUGCUCAGUGCUCGUAAUGACCUACCUCCCCUUAAAAAGGAACACUCGAGAGAUGAUGAACUCUAUCUAGAUAUAGAGCCUUCAACAGAAACCACAGUCCCAACAAUCACUCCUGGACCCUGUACAGAGAAAAUCAGAAUAUUUGAGAAUACAUGGCCCAAGGCAUGGAGGGAGAAGACUCCUUCAAAGUGGAACCUGGAUCAGAUCAUGAGUCAAAGUCAACCUCUGUCCCCAGCUGCUCCUGGGAUGCCUGGCGUGGCCUUGCACUGCAGAAAGUUACAAAGGGCCUGGGGAGAAGGUGCCUCGAACAGUGGAAGGAGAGGAUUGUUGAAGGAGUGAAGGAAUUACUCAGCGUCCCUUCCAUUUUGACAGCCUCUUCUCCAAACCUUGGGUCUGGUUUACUGUAAAAGCCGGGGUCUCUGGCUUCAAAUGCAUUAUCCACCUAGCAGAACUAUCUCCUUCCAAUAACAUUAACAGGCAAGCACCUGACGUGGACAUCAUGGGAGCUCUAUCAAUGUGAAACCAAAGAAGAGAACUUUGGUGAGGUCUGCAAAGGCUAACCCUCCCUCUUUUGUCUCCUGAGAGGGAUUGAGGUCCUUGUCUCUUCACCUUAGAUUGGAGGGUCAAGCGGCAUGGUGGGGUCCCUCUGCCUUUGGGUUCAUUUCCUCUCGGCUUCUCCAGAAAGAGGUACCGAGGAAUUCCCUUCACGCCUCCUACCACAACCCGUUCUCCCACUGCCUUUCUUUUGCCUCCCACUCUCAUCCCCAAUUCUGGGUUGCCCACAUUAGCACGUUUUCCUUUGAGGCCUCUGGUCCUAACCUAGAAGGGGGAAGGGCUGAAGAUGGGAGGGUGAUGAGGAGGGAGACACCAAGCAGGUGGGGCUCAUCCCCACAGGGGCCCAGGAAUCAAGGGUGUGUGCGUGGGGGCAUCUGGAGACAUUUCUGGUGUUCCACAGUGUUCCAUUUUGUCUUUUCGCUUGUUUCUGUGUCUCAUGCUCUGUCCCCUCAGUAUGGAGUUUCCUCAGCCAUUCCAACUGGUUUGAGAAUCUCAGGAAUGUGUAGCCCUGUGCCCUCCUGCUCCCCACCCCCACCUCCGUACACAGAGCCCCUGUAGAGGUGGAACUUAGUUCAAGCUAGAGGCCGGCCGAGUGGGGGAGGGUCCUCCUCUUUUACUGGAGAAGAAAGACAACACACCCUUCCUCCCACCCUCUCUCUGAUUUCUUCCCCAAAAUCAGUCUGCCACUUGCAGCUCCCUCUCACACAGACUGGCCUUUCCCACCCUCACCCCUCACUGGGGGCCUCUGUUGAUGGUAAUUACUCCUAAUUGUUUUCUCUUGGCUCACGAGGCCUUCCUUGCCUGCCCUGAGCCAACAGUUCUGUGUCUGCUCAGAAAAUGGGCUCAACUCAGACCAGAGGCAAGCCUCUUUGGGUCUCAAAACCCAGACUUUAGAUCUAAUACAGAGGGCAGUUUUGACCACGGGUGAGCUGUAAGGAAGGCUGCUGCUUGGACUCAAGGCAGAUUGCAGCAAGAAAUACUGAUCAGACUUCAGGAGCACAUUCCAGCAGCAAGGCUCCUGGAGAAGCUCUAAGCAUUUCCUUCCAUGAGGAUCUUAGUAGCAGAGAGCUUGGGCCUGGCCUGGGGGACUGGACUCCUGAAUGGGGUCUCUGAGCCCUGCAGCUGAGACCUUGGUGGUAUGGAGCUGCCUAUCUUACCGUCCAAGGCCUUUCUCCACCGGAAGACCAGCCUCCGGCCCCAUACAUCAUCCUAUGCCAGUGGGGUGAGCAGGCCUUUUGCCAGAGCUUGAGACGAGACCAUCACAGUCACACACAUGUAAGCAUGGAGGCUUUGUAUUGCUCCCUCCUGGUGCCCCCAGCGUCUGGAUCAAUACUAUGGUAACUGGUGUAGGGAGGAAGAUGAGGGUGAGAGAGGGGGACUGGGGAUGGUGGGGGUAGACAUGCACACACUGUCCCUUUUUCCCUCUGCAGGGCUGCUGACCCUGAUUCAUUCUACCUCCAGAGGAAGAUCCUUAGUGAUCCAGGGCUCUUUAGAAUCCUAUAUAGCCCUUGGAAAAUUAUUUUGGGGUGUUAGCCAGAGAGAAGAGAGGACAUAGAAGUGUUUAAUUAAUUAAUUAAUUCAAAAAUAACUAAGUGCCUACUCUAUGCCAGAUCCCUGUGUUAGGUGCUGGAAAUGUCCUCAGUCUCCCAGUCCAAGCACAUAACACUUUGCUCUGGUCCCAGCCUAAAACAUUUUGUCCCCAGGCCCUGUUCCUGGCACCACCACCAUCAGCCUGAGCCUCCUCUCUCUGGUGCAUUCCACGCCUCCCUGACUCACUGCUACUUUGCUCAGCUGCAGAGCACAUUUUCUAGUGAGCAGAGAAGCCUCUGCAAGAAGGGGCCUGAGGAAUAGACAUGAGGAUGGAGAAAAGGCCAGUUUCACUCAACCCCAGACCUCCAGGGGCGUCUCAAAGACCUGCUAUAAAGGGUCUGAGCUCAGAGAUUUCCUUUAGAUUCUGGAGUAAGAUGGCUACACCGUCUAGACCUGGGUCUCUCCUUCCUUCUUUCCCAUGAUUGGACCAAGGAAUCAAAUUAGGUUUGUUACUUUUUUAAAGUAAACUCUGUGCCCAAUGUGGAGCUUGAAUUCACAACCCCAAGAUCAAGAGUCACAUGCUCUACUCACUGAGCCAGCCAGGCACCCCAAAUUAGGUUUUUAUCAGAAUGUCUACUUGGAUCUGAGAGUGUCUUUUUAUUCAUCCAUCCACCCAUCUACCCAUCCGCUUAUCUAUCUUCUGUUCAUUCAACCAUUCACUCAUCUAUUUUUUUAGGACCUACCCUGUGACAGGAACUGGGAAGAGAGGGAUGAACAUGGUAUGGUUGUUGGUCUAUUCUUUGGUCCCCAGGCUAUCCCUCUCAGUCUCAGCUACUGCCUCAGAAGCUAGAUCUCUCUUCUCCCCUCACAUGGGGGGCCAGACUCCAGCUGAGGAGGUCUCACGAUAGGUAACUAGGAGUCCUGAACCAAUGACCACUGGUAAUCGGGGCCAGUCAGGGGAGUGGGGGCCAGGCUAGUGGUUGGAGGAAUGAGGAGGCACUUGGCCAGGCCACUGAGCCCAUCACUGUGGUUUGGCUCCUUUGGUGAAAAAAUAGCCAGUUUGGACAAGUGUCUGCCUGUGUCCUGAGCUCUGGGUUGCUCCCAGACAGGAGUCGCUCCAUUAAACAAACCACAGCCAAGGGCAACAGGGGCCCAGAGAGGACUAGAAGGGGGAGUGGGAACAUAGGGCUCAGGACAGGACUUGAGCCAAGUCUGUCCAUCCCAGGCAUAAUGGUGCAAGUGAGGCCUGCUUGGUGGGUUGGAGGUAUGCGUGUGCAUCAUGAGAGCUGCAGGUGAGUCUGGAGAGAGAAGCCAAACCCAGACUCACAAAGAGAAGACAGCUACAAAGGUAAAUAGGAUCGGCAAUCUAGAAUCUGUUUUAGGACAAGAGUUGAAGAUUCUUCACCCCAAAGCACCCAGAUAGGUACAGAAGGUUAUGACGGCACCAGAGGGUGUGUGUGUGGUGUGUAUACUCUAGUCACAUAUGAGUUUGGGUCUUUAUUAUUUAUUUUUUCUAUGUCUUCCACUUCAUUCUAAAAUCAGAAGGACUCUGAGUGGUUUCGGCUUCUCUGGGCCUCUCCUCCCCUUCCCACGUGUGGCUGAGGGCGAGUUAAUGGGACCUGUACACACAGAGGCUCACACAGCCUUGAAGACAGAGGCCCAUUCAUACCAGGACACUGCGGCACCUCUCUCCCAGGCUGGCCUGCGGUCCUGCUCCUGUGGUACCAACACGCACAAGUGAGAGACGUGCGCCUUUGCACAUGCAACCUUGCUCUCAAGCACACACAUACAAAGCCACACUCAGGCUCUGUUAACCCUUCACUUCCAUGUGCAGGGCCUCUGGGCUCUUAGUAUAGGAUCUGGCUUUGCCUUUCUCAAUCCCUUUACGCAGCCCAAGUCCCAUCUGAGUUCAUCCUUGAACAACCUCGUCAGGAUCCCAGGGAAUCCACCAUGGGCUUGCAAAGCCUCCCAGUGCCCAAGACGGGGAGUGAACACAAUCUCAAUCAGAGACAAGAUGGAAGCAUUUCCCUCAAAAUCAAGGACUAUUACAGUCUGGGUUCAAAUCACUGCAAGCUGUGGUGCCUCAGACAAAUUAUUUAACCCCUCUGGGCGUCAGUUUCUGAACUGAUAUGAGUACAGGAAAACUUGAGGUCCACAGAUAAGCCUACUAAAAUUAUAUGUAAAACAUAUAGAAUUCUACAUUUUGCUAGAAAGAGGCUUCAGAAGUUUAGCCAGCUUCUCAUAAAUCCCUUGAACACCUCAAAGCUUAAGAACCAGUAAACUUAUUUAUUUUAUCUUAUUUUACUUCAUUUUAUUAUUUUUUUCAUCAUGACACGUAUACUCUUAAUCCCCAUCCCCUAUUUCACCCAUCCCUUCACCAACGUCUCCUCUGGUAACCAUCAGUUUGUUCUCUAUAGUUAAGAGUCCAUUUCUUGGUUUGUCUCUCUCUCUUUUGUUUCUUUGCUCAUUUGUUUUGUUUCUUAAAUUCCACAUAUGAGUGAAAUCAUAUGGAAUUUGUCUUUCUCUGACUUAUUUCACUCUCUAGCUCUAUCCAUAUUGUUGCAAACAGCAAGAUUUGAAAAAAGAUUUCAUUCUUUUUGAUGGCUGAGUGAUAUUCCAUUAGGUAUGUAUGUAUACACACACACACACACACACACGUACACAUAUACACAUACAUUUCUUUAUCCAUUCAUCAGUCAGUGGACACUUGGCCUGCUUCCGUAGUUUGGCUAUUGUAAAUAAUGCUGCAAUAAACAUAAGGGUGCUUUGAAUUAGCGUUUUUGUAUUUUGGGGAUAAAUACCUGGUAGUGUGAUUAAUGGAUCAAUUAUAGGGCAGUUCUAUUUUUAAUUUUUUGAGAAGCUUCCAUACUAUUUUCCACAGUGGCUGCACUAGUUUGCAUUCCCACCAACAGUGCAAGAGGAACCAGUGAACUUUUGGAACUUUUCCAGAACUUUAUAGGAGUUGAGUGCUUGUAAGUGAUACAAACAUGGCCAUUGAAAAUCCACUCAAUCAUCUAAGGUCAGUGUCAAACCCACCCUGUACUACUUAGUGCCUGAAGUUUUCUCACAUGACUCCCACUCCUAUACCCCCAGCUUGGGGAACUGCACACCUUAUAUCUAUGAAGAGCCCAGGUCAGGCUCAACUGAGGGUCUCCCAUCUGAUGGACUUGGGAUGGGGUCACACUGGGGUCACACUGGAGGGUCAAGCCCAGCAGGGUUUAGGAGGAAAGAAAGAAUGGUGAUAGAUAUUAGAAAUAAUAAUCAUGAUUCUGAUGUGUAUUGAGUGCUUAACAUGUGCUAAGCAUUGUGUAACCAACCAAUGAAGUGAAUAUCAUUAUUCCCAUUUUAUAGAUGAGGAAAUGAGUUCAGUCAAAAUUGUCAAUUGCUCAGGAUCCCUCCACCAGUAAGUGGUAGAAGCUAACACUGACAGCAAGUCCGUUUGACUCCAAAGUCUUAAAAAGAGAAGGAGCGAGAGGGCAUUGAAGGGACAGCCCCAUCCCUGGUGACAUUUCAGGUGAAUUGAGUACCUCAUUGCAGCAUUUGGGGCACAAAGCUGCAUCAGAAAUCUCCUCUGGGGAGAAAGGGCCAGAGCCAGCAGUCUGCCUGAGCCAGUCCUUGGGGGUAUGAGGACAGCAAGCAGGCUGGGCUGGAGGCACUGGCUCUUGAGGGCUUUCACCAGGUCUCAAAGACCUCUUUGUUCAGUGCUCCGACUUCUACAAAGAACUCUCCAACCCAGAGUCCUCUGGAACCUUGGCCUGAUCCACCAGCAUACAAGGGUCUCCAGUCCCACUCACCCUCUGCCAGAGAACAGCUAGCCCCCAUGAAGCCAUGGGGUCUCUAAAAAGGUGGGUGGCUGAGGAACCAGGGCCAGACAGCUAGGGACAGGGAGUGGGCAGGAGGGACUAGGUCAGGGAGAAUGAGAGUGGGGGGGGGCUGCCUGCUGGCUGCUCCCCAAACAAACACAUUUUCUCCUUUUGAGGCAGAGAAUCAAAGAGUUACCAGCUGUUUAUUUUUACAUUGCUUAAAAGAGUUUUGCAAAUUCUUACCAAUUGCUGUUGAAGAGCUCAGAAUUUCCCCCAACCACUUGAUACAGUUCCCCAACCUCUUUCCACAAUCCUUCCCAUUGCCCCCUCAGCCUCUGCAAUAUCAAAAUGAGCAGGGGAAGGGGCAUCUGGCUGGCUUAGAAGGUAGAGUAUGUACGCUUUGAUCUCGGGGUCAUGAGCUGAAGCUUCACGUUGGGCAUAGAGCUUAUUAUAAAAAAGAAAAAAAUACAAGAACAGGAAAAGUAGGAAAAUAUGACAGUUGAACUCUUAAUGGAUGUCCUUGCACUUAAUUCCAGCCCCUCAUCCCCAGACUGGAGUCUAGAAGGAACUAGAGAACACAGGAAGGAGCCCUAGUCCCAAGGAACUCUGGAGGAUGCCAUGGAUCCCCUAGGGACGGGGAGCAAGGAAUCUCCAACUCCUUUCCUAGCCCCGCUGCUGGACCCUCCUAACACCCUCCUCUGCCAUUCUUGUCACUCUUUUUGCCUUGGCCCUUCUGGAUUUGGGCUCCACCUCCUUCCUGAGGGUGAGGAUGGUGGUCUUUGUUGCAUUUUCCCAACCCCAGAAGAAUAUGACUUAUAGCUCUACCAGAGCCUCAUUUCUGUGACUUUGCUUCCUUGUCCUCCUUUGCAAGGGACAGUAUGAGGCUGUUCUCAGAGAGCUUUCGUUUCUCCCCACUCAUGGAACACUUCCUGCAGGUGCCCUGGUCUCUGCUUGCAGUCACUUCCUGCUCCAGCACAGGCAUCUUCCCAGCCUGAUAGCCUGGCCCAAUUUCACAGCCAAUUCCAGAGACUUCCUGUCUUUGCAGAGCAGUGUGACCUAGGGGCCUCAGGGACUGAGAUGGUUCAAAUGCGGGCUGGAAACUACUUAGGACACCAGUAGGGAGUGGGGACACCAAAUAAAAAAUUAAUCACUUAAUUUCCAAUAUUUGACUUAUUUUAAAGUCUAGAAGUAAUCACCAUGAUAAAAGUCACAACUUUGUUGGACUUCGUUACAUUUACUUUACCGUUAGAAUUGCUUCUAUUUUGAAUACCAAUCCUUUCAAAGCCGGCACUUGUAAUGGUUUUAAUCUAGCUCCAAGGGCUCUGUGUUGUCUCUAAGCAAGAGAAAAAAAGCAUCCUGGAAAAGUCAGCCCUCUGUGUCCCCAAAAAGGGGGGUGGAGGGAUGGUGGGGUACCACAGAAAAAGGGCUGAGGAUUGUGGCCGAGGGCCUUAGGUUCAACCCCAGAACCGUCAUUUGCUACUUGAGGCUUACCCUCUCUGGCUUCCAUUUUCUCCUGUCUAGAUGGGCAUAAAGUUAUCCCACUGUCUACUUCAGGGUAUUAUAAUGAAGGUCAGAUGGGAUUGCAGAUGUCAGAGCACAUUGAAAAUAGUCACAACAUCAACAUUAAUCAUCAUUAGAGCAAAGAGUGGAGGUAAGAUCCUGGAGAGACACCCCAAAGAUUUAUAGUGGCAUUUUGCCCACCUCUUGGCCUCUAAGCCAGCCCAAAGAUAUCCAGGAAAGGAGACCCCAGGCCUCCUCUCUAAUUCUGGCCUCACAACUUUGUGAGAAUGGUCUCUGUAUUGCUGAUAAGCACCUUUUGGUUACCUGAACAACAUGUACAUUGAACAACAGUGGUUUACGUUUAACCAAGGCCCAUUUCCAAAAGGCCUCCCUUGCUAAUGACAAACAGGUCUCUCCAGUCUCCAGGGGAAGUGAGCCCAUUUGAGGGAUCCCUGACCAGGUAGGGCUUCGUGGUCCCUGUGCUGUUGACGGGGACUGUCACAUCCAGGUUCGCUGUCUUCCUUCUGGCCGGGGCAGAAUGUGGCCUUGUGUGCAGUUUCUAUCCCGGCAGGCGCACAGGCGCAACCCACCGGUUGAAACUCGGCCCUCCCUGGACAGCCCUCAAGCACUGCAUUUUUUUUCAGUUGCUCUCACCAACCCCACAAAUGAAAUUAUCUUCCCUGCUUGUGCCCUUUGGCUGUUUCUGUUUCAGGGAACCGUGGGCUCAAUAAGCUCCACUGUUCUACCCAGCUGGCCAAACAGCCUCGUCUCUGUUUUCCUGGCCAGACCCUGGGGCCUGGAGUCCUGCCUCCGGGAAUUCCAGAAUUCGAGAAUGUUAGAGCUGGAAGAAACCUCAGCCCUCACCCAGUCCUGCCCUAACCGCUGUACAGAUGGGGAAACUGAGGCCCAGGGAGGGAGGGGAAGGCUUUAGGAGCUCAGAGCCUCAGCGUUUCCUGUCAGCCUAGCUCAUGCAGGCAGCAGCCAUAGCCACCAUCCCUGGCCUGCUGGCCUGCCUGCCAUGGAGAGCUCAGACUCUCCCAGGUAGCCCGCCCCAUUGCUGGAACAAUAGGAAUGUUCUUCCUAAUGUCGGGCUAAAAUUGGCCUCCUACCUCCGUUUAACACUCACCUAUCUGUGCAAUCUCCAUGGAGAUACGACUAGCCUGGACAGAACAACUGGAAGUCAAUUCACCAUCAAAGGGAAUGGAAUAGACUGUCGGGGACCAUUCUUGGGCAGCCCCUGCCUACAGGACUGGAGAGAAGGCCCAGCGUCUGGAUCAGAGGGACCCGGGUUCAGUUUCGCUCUGUUGUUUCAGAGUUGUGUGAUGAUGGUGUGUUACUUAACCUGUUUAAGCUUCAGUCCCUUGUCUGUAAAAACAGGAAUAAUGGUAGCUGCCAUCUCGAAAGGCUGCUGUGAGGAUGCUGUGGGAUGAAGUGGAGAGUGAUUUGGCAUGGAGCUGGUGUGUGGUCAGAAUACAGCCGCUGUGGGUUUCAUUGAUGCUGUUGUAAGAGCACAGGCUCUAGAUUCACAUUGCCUUCAUUUGAAUCCCAGCUCCUUCACUUACUAUGUAACUUACUUGACAUUGGACAAGUUACUUAACCUCUCUGGGCCACAUAUUCUGCAUCAGUUUGGAUAUUUUUGGUUGUAAGUUACAAAAAAAAAAGGAAGGAAGGAAGGGAGGGAGGAAAGAAUCCAGCUCAAUUUUCUUAAUAAUGGACUUUAUUAAUUCACAUGAAAAUCCUAAAGUCAUGAGAGUUUCAGGAAUAGUUUGAUCAGGACUUCUGCUUAUUCUCUAUGAUUCUUCUGGCUUUGCCUUCCUGAUGUGUUGGUUCAUCCUCAGUAUGGUUCACCCAUGAUCCUAAGAUGGCUGCAGACAAUUCUAGGCCUCCCACCUGUACAUAUCACAGUCUAGCAUAAAACAGAAAGAGAGGUCUUUUCUUCCAUCAUUAUUAAGUCAAGUUCUAGUCUACACUUCACUUGGAUCAACCUGAAGGUGUUCCUCUGGCAUGAGCUAUGGGGUUACCCUGAUUGGCUCAGAUCUAUUGGGGCCUACCCUCAGACCUGGGCCUCCGGUCAACCCUGCCUAGCCUGCAAGUCUGCUACACAGUGUGGGUGGGAUAUGAUGAUGGCUGCAUGGAGAGGCAACCACCAUGCAUUUGUAAGGACUAAAUGCAAUAAUGCAUGCAAAGCUUUUAGAGCAGUUGUCUGACACCCAGUAAGUGUUAACCGUUUGUCAUUAACUAUUAAUGUUAUUCAUAUCCUGAGCACAUUCCAUCAGUCACUUUUCAAAGGCACUGCUGAGGGCCAGUUUGGGGGACUGUUCCAGUUGUGUCACCAAGCCCUCUCCUUUCUGUUUUUGUUUUUGUUUUUUUAACAUUUAUUUAUUUUUGAGAGAGGCAGAGAUGGAGUGUGAGCAGGGGAGAGGCAAAGAGAGACAGAGACACAGAAUCUGAAGCAGGCUCCUGGCUCUGAGCUGUCAGCACAGAACCCGAUGCGCGGCUUGAACUCACAGACCGCGAGAUCAUGACCUGAGCCAAAGUCAGAUGCUUCACCAACUGAGCCACCCAGGCUCCCCAAGCCCACUCCUCUCUACCUCACAGCAGCCAUGUUGCUGCAGCCCUCCUCCCUGUUUCUUUCUCUCUUGGGCCCCUCCUCAGCCUCAAGCCAUUGGGAAUGCUUUAGGCCCUGCAGUGCCAACAGCCUGCUCUUGAUCAUGGCUUCUAUAACUCCCUAACCCUCUCCUAGCUCCAGGGUACAGCUGUGCUGCCCAGCUCUUUGUCCCGAAAGUAGGGUUUCCUUUAUAGUCUCUCCACAUCUUAAUUUGUCCCUCCAAAAGUUGCUUUAAAGCAUCCUGGACCCUAACUCCAUUCUCCCCUUUGAUCUGUGUCAUUCAAAAAACACCAGCUCGAAAAUACAGGGGAAAGAUAAUACAUCAUCCUCUGCUGGCUCCAUAAAUUAUCCCAGGAGAGAUCAACUUUCUCCUCUGGACAAAAGUUUAAGGGUGUCCUUAGUGGCAUGUGUUCUACCAACCUGAGUCUAGGCAGAUUAAACCCAAGUCUUGGUGAUGCAAAAAUGCAGGAGAUUUCUUACAGGAAAGAACUUCACAUUCAUGGUUAGUAUUGGAAUCUAUUAUUUUCAGAUGACUGAUGCUGUGAGCUUCUCUCUGACCUUCUUGCUACAGCAGAGAGAGCAUGAGUGGUGCUGGUUACCAAGACUCUGGUCAACACUAGCCCCUUGCCAGAGCCUGGAGAAAUGUGUCUGGAUCCCUUCUUGUCUUACUGGUGCCAUACAACUCAGUCCAUUUGGUAUCUUUCCAUGGAUCUGCCCAAUGGCCCUGGGAGGUGGUGGUGGGGGGCUUAUAUAGUUUACAGGUAAGAGUGCCAGGCUGGAUGACUUUACAUAGUUUGUAUAAGAUCACCUAGCUAGGGGUGUCUGGGUGGCUCAGUCGGUGAAGCAUCUGACUCUUGAUUUUGGCUCAAGCCAUGAUCUCACGGUGGUGAGAUAGAGCCCCGAGUUGGGCUUUGUGCUGGGCAUGGAGCCUGCCUUGGAUUCUCUCUCUCCUUCUGCCCCUCCCCCCCUCAAAAAAAAAAUCACCCAGCUAAAAAGUGAGAGAACUGGGACUUGAAUCCACGCCUCCUGAAUGCAGUGCCAGUGUUCUCUCACUGCUGCAGAUCCACGUCUUGCCUUUGGACUGGUCCUUGGGAAAGAAUACCUUGAGAAACUGGAGUCAGGCCUGUGUCUUCGUGCACACCCCAGCCUGGGCCAGAGCAGGGGCUGGCCAGUGCAAAUGAUCAGGGAAGGGCCCUAGAGCCAGCUCUGACCCUGCCUGGCCUCUUCUCCCAGCAGGGGAACACAGUGGGGGAUCCCAGGAAUUAGACCAAAUCCUUAGCUCCAUCUGUAAACAUGGCUGCAGUCUCUUUCAGAUUCCUUGAGCUCCAUUCACAUCUUGCUGGGUGAAUCUCUGUUUUUGGCUUCAGUCUCCUCCCUAUAGGUCUCUCUUCUCCAUCGGACUUUGAUCUUCCUCUCUCCUGGCCUGUUAGUCUCUUGAUAUCCAGUGUAUCUUGGUUGGCCUUUAUCUCUUGUUGAUGUCACCUUUCUUCCUCUCCCUCAGUUCCUCCUCCUGAACUUCCGGGUCAAACAGGCAAGGGGGGGCUCCAGGAGAGGGGCUGCUGAGCUGCCUCUCCUCCUUCUCUCUCCCCCACCAGUGCCCUCCCCUGGCAGCUGCCCUGCACACUUCUCUUGGGCCCUGGCUCCUCAUCACCAUAGCCAGGUCUUCCUUGAUGUGUGGGGCUGAGACAAGGCACAGGGAGGCCGUUAGAGCCACUUCUCUGGAUACAAAAGCCUCUUUCUCCCCCUCAGAGAUGAGGUUUCCAGGCAGGUUAUUUUUAUAGCAGGGCUCAGGCAGGAUCCUUCAGAGAAAAUAAACAAAGUCCCACACACCAGUCCUUCACACCCCUCAGUCCCUUCCCUGGAGAGGGGUCUGGCCUGGCUGUGCCCGCACAGGGACGCCCACCGCCUCAGAGGGGCUACAGGGGCUGCUGCCUGGCUGGGAGAGGCUGGGAGGUCCAGCUGGGGAAGGAGCACUUGGGAGGGAGACAGACAAAGGUCCUCUGCAGCUGGCCCCAAGGGGUCCGGGAGGAGAGGGCUGAACUCCUGGGGACCCCAUCUCACAAUGUGGGAAGGGGUCUCCGUUCCAUAUCUGCAGGGGAGAAUUAAAUUCAAAUUCAGAUUUAACCCAAAUUUUCUAAAUGCCUACCAGGCACCGUGCUUGGAAGUUUCAAACACAUUUCGCUUAUUCCUCAUGGUGGAAUCCAGUAGAAUUCAGAUGGACAAAUUGCCAUUUUGUACCCACUGCUAUAUGCCCUGUUUUAGGUGCUUGAAAGACAAGAAUAAACGAGACACGUAGGGGGCUGUUCUCAUAGAGCUUUCCAACUGGUGGGGGUCUAGAUUCCUCAGUACAAAAACGUGAGGUAGGUAGUAUUAUACUCAUUUUGCAGGCGAGAAAACUGAGGCUCAGUGAGAUGAAUGACUCAUCCAGGGGAAGCUUGGGCCUCAGAAGUCAAGGGCAUCAGGGAUCAGCAAUCUCUUGGGGACAGGUUUCAGCUAAGAGGCUGUAAAGGACAAAAAGCCUGAGCAGGGAUAAGGGAACAAGGGACGAAUCCACAUCCAGCCUUCCCGGGGUCCCCGGCCCCCAUCAUUCCAGAUCUAGGGUAGGGCACAUGAGGUUCCUAAUCCUUGAAGGUAGGCAGGCAGGCAGUGAUGCCUCGUCUAACAGAGCCCCAGAAAGGAAGGCCUUUCAUAACUAGGUUCCCUGGAAUCCCCUCAAAGCUCCUUUAUGAGGCAGCCUCAGGUUGAAAGGACUUCAUAAAUCAUGUGCAUUCCCCGUUUGGCGACAAAAAUACCCAGCCCCUGCACGUCCCUGCCCAGCGGAGGCAAACAGAACUCACUGAAGCAAAGUGCGAGUCCACACAGGCAGCCACUGUCCUCGCCUCCCUCAACAGAGUCUGUCCCAGGACUCAGACCCCUCUCCCUCUCUGGACACAGAAUUCCAGAUACCAACCAUUCACACUGAUUACCCUUCAGGAGGAGUGAGCUUCCUUCCACGUGCUUCCUCAGCCCCACUGUUCCUUCAGCCUUUUCAUGACUAAUAGUGGAAUGAAGGAAUGUGUUCAGAAGUUCCAAGUAUCAGUAGGUAGAGUUCUAGAGCGUUCUUGAAGAGCCAGAGGAGGCCCAAAUAACACGUUCUGGUAUCUAUACUUCGUCGUCUUUAAAAUGGAGCUAAUAAUCCUUGUGUUGUUGUCUUACCAAGAGCUUAUACGCAGGCAGUGUUUAGCACAGUGCCCGCCACAUGGUGAGUGCUCACAGAGUCCGAGCCACUGUUGGCCCUCCUCCCCGGGAAAAGGCUAAGUAUUCACUCAUUCAUUCAGUUUAUUGAGUGCCUGUAUGUGCUGGGCACUGGGGGCUCAGGGUCUCCUGACGCCCAGCCUCCGGCCUCCGGGGGUUCACAGAGUGGAGGCUGUUCAGACAGACCUUACCCUCGGGACUCCCAGGAUCAGGCAGGGCCGAGUAUGGGGCAUCCCCUUUAAAGUCCACCGGUUUACUUCCCACCGCUUUCCCUGGUUGCAGUUUGUUGUUUUCAUUCUGCUAGGGGCUGACCUCAGCAUGGUUUAAUGGCCUCGCCUCCUGUGGCCCCUCUCAACUGACACCUGGAAUGCCACUCUGCGCCGCCUGGGCCUCGCUGUCGCUGCUAAUGAGGUUUCCUAACAAAGCCCUGCCUCGCUGGAGUCUGCUCAGAGGGACUUCUGGACUGCAGCCUGGGGACCCGGGCUCUGUGGGAGGAAGGGGAUGUGGCGAGGGGGGAGGGCCGAGGGAACACACAUUUCUUUCAGAGAAGGCCGAGGACCGGGUGGGGGAGGGAAGGCCCGCAGCUCCUCUAGGCCUGUGGCCACUGGCCGGUCACUGGGGCACUGAUGCUAAACCCCAGGCUCUGGGGCCGUCUCUGUAGUCAACCAGAGCAAGGGCUGAAGGGGACAGGACCAGAGGUAGGGCCUGGGCCUCCAGGGCCACACCUAGCACAGUGCCCUGCACAAGGGGGCCCUGGCUCAGUGUGUGCUGGUGGCCUCUCUCUAGUCUGCAAGAUGGCCUUGUGUGUGCCCAGCCGUUGUCCCCUCUGUCCCCUCCCAUCUGCCCCGGGGAAGCUGCAUGUGCCACCGCUGCCGGUCUUGGCUGCCCCGGGAAGAUUCUAGCGUGAGGCCAAACUUGAAGGAAGAAGAGGUAGCUCCACAAUGAGCCCUCAAGACCAAAGAGGACUCACCCAGAGAAGAGAAGGCGGUGAGAUGGUCCAGGAAUAAAUGCGUUUCAAGGCUGCAGAGGACCUUCAGACCUGGGAGAGGGAACACUGCUCUCGGGCUCCGCGGAGCCUCUGAUCAAGAGAAGUAUGUAGAAAACACAUCACAGGACAUCCACCAUCAGUCGACAAAUACCUAUCAAACACCUACUCCCUGUAAAUGACUGCCAAAAGGCUGCUCUUGGUCAGAACUAAACUCCAAGUUCAAGGAAGGGCAGCCACCGCAGGGUACUUAUUGCUGCUGUGUAUCUGGUGCUGUGCCAAGGGCAGCAUCUCAUUCAGCCCUCCCAAAAACCUGGGAGGAGGGAGAUGUUGCUGUCAUCACCCGUCAUUACAGAUGAAACAACUGAGGACUAGAGAGGGCAAGUAAUUGGCUCAAGGACACACAGCUGGUAAGCAAUAGUGCUAGAGUCACAACCCCAAGCCUGGCCCUGAGCGUUGUGCUAGACCAUCAGUCUGCCUGUUGGGAGGAGGAGAUUCAGAGGCCUGGGAGGAGGCUGAGGAAGCAUAGGACAGGUUGGAGGUGAGUGGACAAUGUACAUCGGCAGAGCAGCUGGAGCAGAGGGAUCGCCAAAGUGGGGGCACCAGAUUUCCAGGCAGUGAGUACAUGGGCCUGUGGCAUAAACGGAAAGGUGGAUUGAGAAGGGCCUGAAGUGCCAGGCUGAGGAGUUGGCCUCUAUCCCGUAGGUAAUGGGGAGUUAUGGAGGGCUCUUGAGUAGUUUGAAUUAUGGGAGUAGUAUUUGAGGAUAGCGAGGCCGGCCAGGUGCAGACCUGUAUGGGACGGACGGAACCGCAUUCGAGGGAGCUGUGACACGUCCCUGGAGCUAUAUACAGCCCCUCUCCCUGGCCAGUUCAGGGCUGGACCAUCCUGCUGACAUCAAAACCGUGUCUGUCAGACCGCCAUGUCUCCAGGAAACUUCAGAUGAGGGCUGAGAGCAAGUGUGCAGCAUUCCCAGAACUAUUUGUCAGAUCUGAGGACCACUUAGACUUAUUAUUCAUUUAAUAGCUUCCUUAAAUCAACUCUCUCACUCUCUUUUGCUUUACUCAAGGUUACUUGAACUGAAAACUCUGUAUCAUGGGAUUGACAUUCUACCUCUCCCUCCAAUCACAUUGAAAUAAAUACAUUUAAAAAUAAAUAUGUAACUAUUAAAAUGAAAAAUGUUUAUCCAAGUUCCGUCUAAAGUCACCCCAGGGACCUCUGCACUUAGGAAAUAUCGCCUUGGUGACCCUCCCCUCGCUCCUUCCCCGGUUGAAAUGACCUCACUCAAAGAUUUCACAUUUGGAAAAAGCAAGUCAGAAAUCAUUCAGAGCCAGGGGAGGGGAGGAGGUUGGGCACCAGGGGGCCUCUGCACACCAGUCCCAGUGGGGCGUGAGAUGGAGGGGCUGGGGCAGCUGAGGGAGCUGCCUGGGGAGUGAAUGAGGCCUUGUUUCCCGCAGUGGCAGGCGGUGUGCAGAGACCGGGCUGCAAAUGUAAAGUUUCCAAUAACUUUCGUGGAUGGUUUUCCAAUAAACAUGUAUGCCGUCUGUCUGGACCAGGAGAUGUGCAGUCCCAGGUGCCUGGCGACGGGGCUGGGUGGGGGGCUGCUCUCUGCAACGUCAGGCCUCUGCACCCCUCCCACCGUGUCCCCCCUCCCCAACCCCGACUUGUCCCCUUGUUCGUUCUUUUCGCUGAGAUUAGAAUAGCUUGCAUUUGCUGAGAGCUGAGUGUGAAUUCUCUUCACAUUUUAUCUUACUUAAUCCCCACAAUCGCUUUAUAAGGUAGGUGUUAGCAUUGUGCCACUUUCUUUGGUCAGGAAACAUGGCAGCACAUCAGCCCAGGAGCCCUUUGGACCCAGGUCCGUGUGACCCCAAAGCCCGUGGUCUCAGCCACCUGCACCCUAUUUCCACUGCAUCGCUCUUCCUCAGCCUCAUCAGCGCACCGCCCUCCCUCUCCUCCUCUGCGUCUCUGGUCAGAGCCAGUCUCAGCCAGAAACAGCACGAGAGAAGCUCCUCUCACAACUGACACCACUCAUGAAUACAGAGGGCUGGUCUGCAGGUCAGUUGAGCUUUCUGACAGGGGACUGACCAAUCUAAUCUCAGAGACCUUUUUAGCCAUUGAAAGUUAUUUAAUUUAUUGGCUCUGGCUUCAGAUGAACAGAAUAAAUAAACGUCAGCUGAAAAGGAAAUGGUUUCUGUGGUCUUUCUCUGAAUUUGGUCCAUCAAAGCCAAGUUCUAACUCUGGUUGGAAGCAUGCUCUCAAAAGCAUCUUCCAAUGGUGUCCUUUCUUUGUUUAGUUGACUUAUCACAGGGCUA